GGGUUCAAUGAGGGAACAAUUCUGG
rnacentral:piRNA from 1 species